AGGGAGGUGCCCUACAACGCGGGGGUGGACUGAGAUGCGUAGGAUGAUCUGCUUCUGUAUAAGAUGCAACCCACCGGGCAAUCAACGUUGUAAUAACAACCUUGAAUCAACGUAAAUUCAACAUCACAACGUUUAAUCAACAUCAUAUGCCUGGUGGGCAGUCACUUAAAGUUCUAUUGGUUGAAAAUAUUAGACGUCUUAUAUUUCCGAUUCUGUAUUCGGUAUAGAAUAGUGGAAGUUUAUUAUUAUUAUGAGUGGUGCGAUGGGAGGUAGAGGACGUCUGGUAUCUUCAAUACGUUCACGGUUGGAGCUUCCAAUAUUGGUUUGAUUAAUAACAGCUCGCGGUUGGGAUAUUCAGUUUGCAUUCGUCUAGGCUAUUAGUUAUUUCACUUUGCUGCGACGAUUUAAGUAAUGUCUGGCCCGAUUGUUAUUGGAGAUUUAUUCUUCACUGAAUAUCUUUUUCGUUGUAAACACAUACUACCAACAAUCCAGAACAAAAUAGAAAUGUUUGGGUAUCCAUUUUCUGCACGCAAUUUAUUUUCAGGCGAGUAAUCUUGGAUUUUUUCAUGUCAUUUGUAUAUGAAUUUAAUUCAAGAGAUUGUUUUUGCUGUCGCCUUUGCUUGGUCCGGAAAAGUCGGCACAAAAUUCGCUCUAAAACUCAUUUUUACGCCGUAGUGAGCAUGAACAAAUUAACAUGGUGAGUUUCUCCUGAAUUCCUCUGUUGUAAAUAUUCAUUAUGGUUCUGAGUCGAUGUGUUCCGCCAGUCAACGGAUGUUCUUUCCAUAAGACGAAUUUAGCGAAUGUUCCUGCCAACAGUUCGAUGUUGACAAAUGUUCCUGCCAACAGUUCGAGGUUGACGAAUGUUCCUGCCAACAGUUCGAUGUUGACCAAUGUUCCUGCCAACAGUUCGAGGUUGACGAAUGUUCCUGCAACAGUUCGAGGUUGACGAAUGUUCCUGCAACAGUUCGAGGUUGACGAAUGUUCCUGCAACAGUUCGAUGUUGACGAAUGUUCCUGCAACAGUUCGAUGUUGACGAAUGUUCCUGCAACAGUUCGAUGUUGACGAAUGUUCCUGCAACAGUUCGAUGUUGACGAAUGUUCCUGCAACAGUUCGAUGUUGACGAAUGUUCCUGCAACAGUUCGAUGUUGACGAAUGUUCCUGCAACAGUUCGAUGUUGCCGAAUGUUCCUGCAACAGUUCGAUGUUGACGAAUGUUCCUGCAACAGUUCGAUGUUGCCGAAUGUUCCUGCAACAGUUCGAUGUUGACGAAUGUUUCUGUCAAUUGUUCGAGGUUGACGAAUGUUCCUGCAACAGUUCGAUGUUGACGAAUGUUUCUGUCAAUUGUUCGAGGUUGUCGAAUGUUCCUGCAACAGUUCGAUGUUGACGAAUGUUUCUGUCAAUUGUUCGAGGUUGACGAAUGUUCCUGCAACAGUUCGAUGUUGACGAAUGUUUCUGUCAAUUGUUCGAGGUUGACGAAUGUUCCUGUAACAGUUCGAUGUAGACGAAUGUUCCUGCAACAGUUCGAGGUUGACGAAUGUUCCUGCAACAGUUCGAUGUUGACGAAUGUUUCUGUCAAUUGUUCGAGGUUGACGAAUGUUCCUGUAACAGUUCGAUGUAGACGAAUGUUCCUGCAACAGUUCGAGGUUGAGUGUUCCUGCAACAGUUCGAUGUUGACGAAUGUUUCUGUCAAUUGUUCGAGGUUGACGAAUGUUCCUGCAACAGUUCGAGGUUGACGAAUGUUCCUGCCAACAGUUCGAUCUUGAUGAAUGUUCAGCAGUAGGACAUAGGCGGGAGCGCGUUCUAUAGCGUCAGGAAGCUAGGUCGUCUCACCAAGAGUACUCAAGUAGAAGGUAUUUUCUCACUGGUAGCUAGGACUUAUUAUUUGGGUAGACUAUAUAAUGGAUUCACUGUACAAUGAAUUCACGACAUCGUAAAUAAUAUCAAUCUCAAAUCGCUACCCACAUCCGUUCUCGCUUUGAAUAGCAAAGUUUAGUCUCCGAGGUCAAUAAUAUUCUAAAAAAAAUAAGAUUCUAACAAAAUAUGAAUUCAGUCAAGUAGUAACUGGUUGAAUAUAGUUUGGACAGUUUUCUUCUGCAUUGGAUACAAUUUCAAGCUAUAACUGUCGUACUAUCAAUCGCUUCCUCUCAUCCACUUUUGCAAACAGCAGUUUUUCCGAGUUCAGCUGGCACCUACGCUGAUCUGUUUUAUUUGUGUUCUCGACAUCUUUUGUUGUGUUACUCCUUUUUCUCAAGAGAUGCUUUGCUUCUUUUAACUUAUGUUAAUGUACUCUUUUCUAUAUUGUUUGUUGCAUUUGUUUUCUUUUAGAUUGCGAAGUAACGAAUGCUUGAAUUCAUAAAUUCGAGCCUCUAUGCAAUCGGACACCCAAAGGUUUUUUUUUCAGUUUAUGGAUCUGACUUGACGGUUUUCUGUAGCACAGAUCUGUAGUGUGCGGCAUUUGAAGACCGCGUGUUAAGCAUUGAUCAUUUAUUGGUAAAAUCCGUUCCUUGUUUCUAAACAAAUGAUAUUUUUGGGGUUUUGUUCUAAUUCCAACUUCUCGAUAGAUCAAUCAUUUUUAUUCCCGAAGAAAUUUCUUGGGUCAGUAAACGGCAAAAAAUAAAGGACUUUGUAUCAAAAUUAUGUAUUUUUUAUUCGUUGUGGGUGUAACAGCAGCAGUAGCACUUUGGAAAACACUCUGCAUGUUGUGCACGUGUUGGUGUGUUCAAUACUUUAAUCUUUAUUAGUUGAUGAAAGAAAUAUCUUAAGUUCCGUUAUCAAGUAGAGGGCCUUAUUAUUUUAGUGAUUGAAGAAAGUUUAGAAAGAUAUAACUAAUAACUAUUAAUAACUAACAUUAAUCCUAUUGUAUCAAGUGUAGUGCAGUGCAAAUUGUUAUGGUUGAGUGCUGUGCUGUAAUGUCUGUAUGUUGGCCGAGGUGUGGUAGCGGUGCAAGCUCUCGAGUUCUCAACAUUUAAAACGAGUUAUUAAAAAAUUGUUCUUUUUACCCUUAAAUUUAUGAACAGAGGUGCAUCUUUGAAAAUUCCUCGAUAUUCGAUCGAACAAUUCAAGAAAAAUCGAAAUUAAUUAUUAAAAUAAUUAAUUAUUACAUUACAAAUUAAUUACAAAUAUUCAAAUAAAAAUAAUAAUUAAAAAAUCUAAAUUCUAUUACUGGAAUAUUGGAAAACAUUUCAUGGUAAUUUUUGGCGAAUUGGAAGGGUGACCACAACAUUUUGGAACUCGUAGGUAAUGUUGAGAAAAGCGAGGACAACCGCACCGAUGCUGGCGCCUCUUUUACUGCCAUCUGUUGUUGUUGCGAGUGUCUCCCUAUUUCGUAGGUGUGACUUUCAUCGUCUUCUCGGCGUAGGUUGUUGACUUUUUCCUUCAUCUGGAAUAUUCCUUGUUAAUAUUCCAGAAUAUUAUCUUGCGAUGUUCUUCCAAUCAUUAAAGUAUAUUUAUUUUUGUUCGCCCAAAUUUGCGCAUAUCAAGAAGUUUAUGCUCGUUUUUGAUUAUUUUUUUACCAUGAUUCUGUUAUUAUGAUAAUGAUUCUGAAUAUCAUCAAACCUGAAAGAUCUGGGACCAGUAUUUUGUGUUCUGUCAAUUUAAUUCGAACGAAGUUUUCGUCUUCCAGCGUCAUUAUUCAUACUCUUGAGGUAGCCUAAAGUUUAUGGUUCGCGUAUCAUCAAUAAUUACCACGAGAGAAAUACCAUAUAUCUCUUAUAUGGUUUCUCUUAUUAGGUACUAACGUCGUCUCGAGACCCAGAGUAAAAAAUGCUAAUGGUUCUUGUACAGGGGGCCACUAGUGGCGGCCAGUGCAAUUUAUAGAUGCUAACUACUACUAUUGAUUCUUCUGUCUUCGUGUAAGGGGUUACUGGGACCCUUACGUGUCCAGUAGCGUUUAUUAUACAUGAGGCCAGUAGCACAAUUAAUGGUGGCGGUCAGUAUUUGGUAGGUUAUACUUGCGCCACUAAUGUACUUAUGUUCAAGCGCCUAAAACAUGACGAUGCCCUGGUAUCCCUUCCGUUCUUGCAAAAGGCGUGUGGAGGGAGGUUGCUGGGUCGUUGAUCGAAUGUUCUAAGAUCUGGUUUGAAAUGCAAUAACUGGUGUUUGUUGGUGAAGCAAGCGUUGCACGAGUUCUUUCAACACCCUCGCUAUCAAGAUAGCUUUAUCUGUAGACAGAUAUUCACUGUACAGAGCUCUCCUCUGAAAGACCAAUAACAAAGCUAUGUAGACGCCGACGAAAGCACUCCAUCAAUGACACUAACAGAUGGCAUUCACCAGUGCAAUAGAUUUUUAUCAUUGCUCUGUUAAAGGUAAGAAGGUCACUCUUCACCACGUGUUUGAAGCUAUUUAGCAGCACAGACGAAAUGGUCUGCUAUCUUCGAUGUUCGUUUUGAGGAAAGGAACAUUCGCUGAGUUACAAACGGCCAUAAUGUUGUAUGGUUGCUUGUUAAUUCUAGCAUACGAAAGCUACCUCACCUCAAUUUACUGUGUCCGUCUUGGUAUCACUUGUAUUGUUGGAAGAGUUUCGACUGCAUGCUAGCGUAAGGCGUGGAACAACGGGUAUCCUAGGGACGGUCGUCGACUUUUGCCCUAAGCUACUGCCACAGCAACUAAACUCUUAGUUGACUAUCACGCGUUGCUAUCACGACGUACUGUCUUCCUCCACUCUUGUCGAGUCGUAUUCAGUUCUCUUAAUCUUUAGCUCCGCUCUUGUUCGUAUUCUUCUCACGAAGGUUCACGUUGAAGGAGUUAACUGGUCGGCGCCUGUUGAAUUAGGCAGGAAAUUCCUCGACUAUUUUUCCCAUUAAACGAGUCCGAGGUUAUAAGCGCCAACGUAAACGAAGCAGCUGGGAGGGUUGGCGAGCAGAGAUGUUUUCUAAUGUGAAUAUUAAAAUAUUAACUUGAUGUGUCGGGAGUAGAUUCUCUCCGUUAUCACCAUUCCGCAUGGACUCUAAUGAAUCUUAUAUCUUCUCUCAAUGUCUUUCCUCUGGAGAGAAGUUGAUGGUCGUGUGAUGCUUCGGUUAUUAUUAUCAAGUGUUUAAAAUUAUACGCGCUUCACGUAAUUUGAGUUAUAUUUUGUUCAUCACUUAGCGGUUAGUGAAUAAAAAUUUUGAGUAUCAUUAAAAUGUUACUAGUAAACAAUUUAGCCUAA
rnacentral:lncRNA from 1 species